rnacentral:rRNA from 1 species
UUCCUACGGGGGGCAGCAGUGGGGAAUAUUGCACAAUGGGGGAAACCCUGAUGCAGCGACGCCGCGUGAGUGAGGAAGUAUUUCGGUAUGUAAAGCUCUAUCAGCAGGGAAGAAAAAAUGACGGUACCUGACUAAGAAGCACCGGCUAACUACGUGCCAGCAGCCGCGGUAAUACGUAGGGGGCAAGCGUUAUCCGGAAUUACUGGGUGUAAAGGGAGCGUAGACGGCUGUGCAAGUCUGGAGUGAAAGGCGGGGGCCCAACCCCCGGACUGCUCUGGAAACUGUAUGGCUGGAGUGCAGGGGAG